UACAGAGGUCUCAAGCGUUGUUCGGAAUCACUGGGCGUAAAGGGUGCGUAGGCCGCACGGUAAGUCAGAGGUGAAAUCCCGGAGCUCAACUCCGGAAAUGCCUCCGAUACUGCCGUGCUUGAGGACUGGAGAGGAGUCUGGAAUUCACAGUGGAGCAGUGAAAUGCGUAGAUAUUGUGAGGAACACUAGUGGCGAAGGCGAGACUCUGGACAGUUCCUGACGAUGAGGCACGAAGGCCAGGGGAGCAAACGGG
rnacentral:rRNA from 1 species